rnacentral:lncRNA from 1 species
UCACUUGAAGCUUUUCUCUUUCAUUAUUAUACUUCAAUUGUUCGAAAAGGAUAUUAGUUGAACUGCACACAAACUUAUAAUUUAAAUUGCUUAUAUUUUUGCCUACAGUUAUGAGAGGCAUUACAGUAAGUUAGUAGAAUGGAUGCUGAAAGGCGAUUUGGCACUCAGAGGAAACAUUGAAACAGCUGAAUUGCUCAUAUUUCCUUCCAAUAUCCUGCCAAAAAGCUUUCAAAGUAAGAAGUCGCUCACCUAUUCAAGUGAUGCUUUUAUCUGAUCACAGUUUUACGCUGAUAGAUCUUACUUUUCCUUAUUCUGCUUCAGGAUGGAACAUGUCCUAUUAUCUAUGGGGUGUAUUUAGAGUCAGAAGAAAAGAUUCUAACCUUCCAUAUCAUGUACCUACAAGAAAACAUUGUAAUUUCAAUGGAAAUCUCUUGGCCGUGGGUCGAAGAACUCAUGCCCACGCUUCUUCUGGCCCCAGUUUCUAUUACUCACCUACUUGUGAAGACUCUCCAUCUAUCAUGCCCUUGGAAGCUAAUCAUGAGGGUUGCCCCAAUGGUGAGAAUUCUCUAGGUUAGCCUUUCUGUGGACGACCUUUAGAAGAUCAGCAUCAUGAUUCAGUUACAGCUAGCUUAUCAACAAAUAACAAUAGCGCUAUUAAUGAAUUUGUCACAGCUCCAACAAGAAAAAAGCAGGUGGGUGUUAUAAUUUAAUUUGACGUGUUCCAUUUUUUUCCUUCCAAGUGUUUUUUUAAAAAAUCAAUCACUUUACUGGAUGCAUUUGAUUAAAGAAUAAGAUGACACCUGCCAUUGUGUGUGUGGAUGUCAUGCUUGCCUGUUUACGCCAUCUUGGCUAUUGGCCUUUGCCUGCUACACAUUUGUUUUAUAAAAAUAUUAAAAUAUGAUUGCUUGUAUCAACUUAAAUGUUUACUCUUGGCUAUACGUAUGCGGAAACAUGUUUAUUCAGAACAUUAAGACAAUGCGGGAGUGUUAUCAUAACAGUCAGUGGACAUUUGUUUCAUUUUUCUUGAUUUUCAUUGUCUAAUUUAUCUUGUUGAAAAAACAGGGAAAGAGAGGACAGCCGUCAACCAUGACAAUGCAGAGGACCUGUUGCGACCCAGUGUAGUUGACCUACAACGGCGACCGCAAUCAGUAUGUCGCUAAUUGAUAUCAUACGAACAUCCACACAGACCAAUCACGCACUUACAUUGCUGGGACCAGAUUGGUAUACAUGCAUAUAUACGUGUGUAUGAAGGAAUUCUUUGCGAAGUUUGGGUACGCUUAAUAUGAGCGCUGAGCGGAACAUGUUGCUUCUUCCCUUCUCGCCAACGAAAGCGGGAGCUCACCUAGGCGGAGUGCGCAAGCUGUAAGUGGGUGAAGCAGCACAAAGGUUGUAGAGGAGCAACUUCACUUUGCUGCUACAAUAUGUACUAACACAAGUGUUGAAGGAACAACUUUAACGUGCCGUGCUAAAUAUUGCUCUAGAGGCGAAUGUAGGCUGAUAUGGCAGCAAGAGUUCAAUCCAGAACUCCUAGAGCAUAAAAUCUACUUCAA